GACGAACGCUGGCGGCGUGCUUAACACAUGCGAGUCGAACGGAAAGGCCCUGCUUUUGUGGGGUGCUCGAGUGGCGAACGGGUGAGUAACACGUGAGUAACCUGCCCUUGACUUUGGGAUAACUUCAGGAAACUGGGGCUAAUACCGGAUAGGAGCUCCUGCUGCAUGGUGGGGGUUGGAAAGUUUCGGCGGUUGGGGAUGGACUCGCGGCUUAUCAGCUUGUUGGUGGGGUAGUGGCUUACCAAGGCUUUGACGGGUAGCCGGCCUGAGAGGGUGACCGGCCACAUUGGGACUGAGAUACGGCCCAGACGCCUACGGGAGGCAGGAGUGGGGAAUAUUGCACAAUGGGCGGAAGCCUGAUGCAGCAACGCCGCGUGCGGGAUGACGGCCUUCGGGUUGUAAACCGCUUUCGCCUGUGACGAAGCGUGGGUGACGGUAAUGGGUAAAGAAGCACCGGCUAACUACGU
rnacentral:rRNA from 1 species